AUGGACAAUGAAUGAUAACCCAGUCCUGGAGUAUUUUGGUUUAGUUUGUGUCUGCGUCUGUGUUAAACGUAGAUGAAGUUGAGUGUGAGGUUAACCCCAGAGGGGGACCAGAGCGCACCUGAGCAGGUUGGCCCUUCCAGCUACACAGUCAAGUUAGCAGCACUGUGGGGAAUAAGUGGAGCAACUGUGGACAGCAAAUUGAGCUCACCGGGAUUUCAGCUCAGUGUGAGAGUCUCUUGUGUGCAGUGGAGAGCUGAUGUCCCACCUCACCACUGCUUGUGAAACGAAAGCUCCUGAGGCGGAGGCUAUGGAGGUGCAUGAAUGAGGGGACCACGGUGAUGUCACCCUUUUUAUUUGAUUGCCACCUUUUGUGUCAUAAAUAUCAGUUCAGUAUUCAGGUAUGAGUAGAAACCUUUGACCAAAAAAAUCCAUCCUCAAGCUAACAAGAUUAAGAUAUUUUUGUCUUCCUCAGUGGAUGGAUGGCUGGUGAUGUCACUCAUUUGUUUGAUUGCAACCUUUUGUGUAAUAAAAGCUGGUCAAAAUACAUG